rnacentral:rRNA from 1 species
UACGAAGGGAGCUAGCGUUGUUCGGAAUAACUGGGCGUAAAGGGCGUGUAGGUGGAAAUAUGCGUUAGAUGUGAAAGCCCCGGGCUCAACCUGGGAAUGGCAUUUAAUACGGUAUCUCUAGAGUGCGAGAGGGGAAAGCGGAAUGGCGAGUGGAGCAGUGAAAUGCAUUGAGAUUCGCUAGAACACCAGAGGCGAAGGCGGCUUUCUGGCUCGUAACUGACACUAAGACGCGAAAGCGUGGGGAGCAAACAGG